UACGGAGGAUGCAAGCGUUAUCCGGCAUGCUUGGGCGUAAAGCGUCCGCAGGUGGCCAUGUAAGUCUGCUGUUAAAGCGUCUAGCUCAACUAGAUACAAGCAGUGGAAACUACAUCGCUAGAGUGCGUUCGGGGCAGAGGGAAUUCCUGGUGUAGCGGUGAAAUGCGUAGAGAUCAGGAAGAACACCGGUGGCGAAGGCGCUCUGCUAGGCCGCAACUGACACUGAGGGACGAAAGCUAGGGGAGCGAAUGGG
rnacentral:rRNA from 1 species